UACGUAGGUGGCAAGCGUUGUCCGGAUUUAUUGGGUUUAAAGGGUGCGUAGGCGGCUUUGUAAGUCAGUGGUGAAAUACUCUGGCUUAACUAGAGGGGUGCCAUUGAUACUGCGGAGCUUGAGUACAGAUGAGGUAGGCGGAAUUGACGGUGUAGCGGUGAAAUGCAUAGAUAUCGUCAAGAACACCGAUAGCGAAGGCAGCUUACUGGGCUGUAACUGACGCUGAUGCACGAAAAGUGUGGGGAUCAAACAGG
rnacentral:rRNA from 1 species